GACCAUCCUCCAAGGCUAAAUACUCCUGAUUGACCGAUAGUGAACCAGUACUGUGAAGGAAAGGCGAAAAGAACCCCGGUGAGGGGAGUGAAAUAGAACCUGAAACCUUGUACGUACAAGCAGUGGGAGCCCCAUCACUUAAUCCGAUUGGAAGGUGAUGAAAAGCAACCGCACUUAAACAAUGGUAAGAGGAGCGAAGCGAGUCAAACCACCCAAAAAAAGAAGCAGUGGGAUUAAGUGAUGGGGUGACUGCGUACCUUUUGUAUAAUGGGUCAGCGACUUAUAUUUUGUAGCGAGGUUAACCGAAUAGGGGAGCCGAAGGGAAACCGAGUCUUAACUGGGCGAGUAGUUGCAAGGUAUAGACCCGAAACCCGGUGAUCUAGCCAUGGGCAGGUUGAAGGUUGGGUAACACUAACUGGAGGACCGAACCGACUAAUGUUGAAAAAUUAGCGGAUGACUUGUGGCUGGGGGUGAAAGGCCAAUCAAACCGGGAGAUAGCUGGUUCUCCCCGAAAUCUAUUUAGGUAGAGCCUUGAGGUGACACCUUUGGGGGUAGAGCACUGUUUCGGCUAGGGGGCCAUCCCGGCUUACCAACCCGAUGCAAACUACGAAUACCAAAGAGUGAUACUCAGGAGACACACGGCGGGUGCUAACGUCCGUCGUGGAGAGGGAAACAACCCAGACCGCCAGCUAAGGUCCCCAAGUCUAUAUUAAGUGGGAAACGAAGUGGGAAGGCUUAGACAGCUAGGAUGUUGGCUUAGAAGCAGCCAUCAUUUAAAGAAAGCGUAAUAGCUCACUAGUCGAGUCGGCCUGCGCGGAAGAUGUAACGGGGCUGAAAUAUAGCACCGAAGCUGCGGCAUCAGGCGUAUCACUAAUACGCCUUACGAUUAACAACAUGGAAUGGUGCGAAGCGACAUGAAAGGUUGUUCAAGCAACCCGAACGUUGAGUCGGGCAUCUUUGAGUAAGGAUGAUUAGUGAUACGCCUGUUGGGUAGGGGAGCGUUGUGUAAGCGGAAGAAGGUUCAUCGAGAGGUGGGCUGGACGUAUCACAAGUGCGAAUGCUGACAUAAGUAACGAUAAAACGGGUGAAAAACCCGUUCGCCGGAAGACCAAGGGUUCCUGUCCAACGUUAAUCGGGGCAGGGUGAGUCGGCUCCUAAGGCGAGGCUGAAAAGCGUAGUCGAUGGGAAACAGGUUAAUAUUCCUGUACUUGGUAAAGCUGCGAUGUGGGGACGGAGUAGGUUAGGUUAUCGCACUGUUGGAUAUGUGCGUUUAAGUUGGUAGGUGGGAAGUUUAGGCAAAUCCGGACUUCCUUAACACAGAGAGAUGAUGACGAGGCUCUACGGAGCUGAAGUAACUGAUACCACACUUCCAGGAAAAGCCACUAAGCGAAAGGCUUUACUAAACCGUACUGAAAACCGACACAGGUGGUCAGGUAGAGAAUACUCAGGCGCUUGAGAGAACUCGGGUGAAGGAACUAGGCAAAAUAGCACCGUAACUUCGGGAGAAGGUGCGCUUACAGUAAUUGUAGUCCCUUACGGAUGAAGGUGAAGUAAGUCGAAGUGACCCGCUGGCUGCAACUGUUUAUUAAAAACACAGCACUCUGCAAACACGAAAGUGGACGUAUAGGGUGUGAUGCCUGCCCGGUGCUGGAAGGUUAAUUGAUGGUGUAAUCGCAAGAGAAGCACCUGAUCGAAGCCCCAGUAAACGGCGGCCGUAACUAUAACGGUCCUAAGGUAGCGAAAUUCCU
rnacentral:rRNA from 1 species